UUUUUUUCAGGGGCAAAUAACUCUUGUGAUGCUCAUGAAUAUUAAUGAGUAACGUUGCGUCUCCAUAGUGACGACGCUGUCCGCUUCAGUUCUCUGGUCGUCAAUCGCUCUUGUAUUUUGAUCUUUUUAUUGAUAAACUAUGUAGAAUUAGAUAAAUAAUGAUAAUUUGUUGAAAAUAAAAAUUAUAUGUCACAUUAUUUUUCAAGCCAUAACUUGUAUUGUAUGAAAAUCCUACUUGUCGAUCUCGCAACGGAGGCGUGGCUUGUUUUCCUUAUUUGGAAAACCGAUUCAACAGGAAGCUUGAAAUCCACAUGUUUUGAACGGACGGAUUUUUUUUGUUGCAAGAGGCGAAUAAUGGCCCAUAUACCCAAGGAUUUCAGCUUACAAGCCGAAUUGUACGCCAUAACUUGACUAUGAGUUCAAGAUGACAAUGAUGAGAACAAAAAUGAAAGGAUACUUGCCUUACAUUUACAUUGCAAUACAUGACUGCAGGAUAUAUGAACAGAAAACAUGGACAACAAUGUGUAAUUCACAGCAACAUAACUUUUUGAAAUUGAGUAAAGAUAACUUUCCAACCAGAAGUUCCACAGUGUGAUCAUGGUGAUGUCAAACAGCAUGUUAAAAAUGAUUAAAAACAAUAUAGUAAGACUCAGCUUGAAGGUGAAAGGAGGACCCAGUUUUUGACACCCACUUUUUCUUGCCUGUUUUUUUCUGGACAGAAAGAAAACCCUCCAUUUAAAUAGAAUGCAGAAAGUGACUGUUAAAUUGUAAAAUUAACGGAACCUACAGAAUGACAGAUGGAAACAUGUGUAGAGAAAAAACCUCAUGUAAUCUAUAAAGUAAUUCAACAUCUUGUAGCAGCCUCGUAGAGAUCGUUCCACAGCAGUAAAGGAUGGUCAAAGGUGACCAGUUCUAAUUUCAACAUGAACACAGACAUGUCAGACAGAGAUUAAUCUCAACAAUUACAAUUUGAUUAAAAAGAAUGUGUGCACAUACAUUUUAUACAUGUACUUUGUACAGUGUUGUACCUGUAUAGUGGAAAAAUUACAUGUGCAAUUUAUUACGGACAGAAGACCAACAAAACAGGGCUAAAUGUUAUAGAUAACUGUAAAUUUACAUUAUGUUCAUAAGAACAGCAGUAUCAACAUUUGAACAGUAACAUCAUCCAUAAAUUUUUGUCAAGCAUGUAUAUCAAAACAUUAAUUUGAUUAAAUAUUUCUAUUCA